CUUCGGCGGUUAGCGGCGGACGGGUGAGUAACACGUAGGCAACCUGCCUGUACGACUGGGAUAACUCCGGGAAACCGGAGCUAAUACCGGAUACUUCUUUCAGACCGCAUGGUCUGAAAGGGAAAGACCUUUGGUCACGUACAGAUGGGCCUGCGGCGCAUUAGCUAGUUGGUGGGGUAACGGCCUACCAAGGCGACGAUGCGUAGCCGACCUGAGAGGGUGAUCGGCCACACUGGGACUGAGACACGGCCCAGACUCCUACGGGAGGCAGCAGUAGGGAAUCUUCCGCAAUGGACGAAAGUCUGACGGAGCAACGCCGCGUGAACGAUGAAGGUUUUCGGAUCGUAAAGUUCUGUUGUUAGGGAAGAACCGCCGGGAUGACCUCCCGGUCUGACGGUACCUAACGAGAAAGCCCCGGCUAACUACGUGCCAGCAGCCGCGGUAAUACGUAGGGGGCAAGCGUUGUCCGGAAUUAUUGGGCGUAAAGCGCGCGCAGGCGGCUUCUUAAGUCAGGUGUGAAAGCCCACGGCUCAACCGUGGAGGGCCACUUGAAACUGGGAAGCUUGAGUGCAAGAGAGGAGAGCGGAAUUCCACGUGUACCGGUGAAAUGCGUAUAGAUGUGGAGGAGCACCCGUGCCGAGGGCGACUCUCUGGCGUGUGUCUCACGCUCAGGCGCGACAACGUGGGGAGCGAACAAAAAGAGAUACUCCUGCGGAGUGCGGCGGCCGCA
rnacentral:rRNA from 1 species